rnacentral:rRNA from 1 species
GACGAACCGUCCAAACGUUAUUCGGAAUCACUGGGCUUACAGAGUUCGUAGGCGGUCUGGAAAGUUGGGUGUGAAAUCCCUCGGCUCAACCGAGGAACUGCGCUUGAAACUACCAGACUCGAGGGAGAUAGAGGAAAGCGGAACUGAUGGUGGAGCGGUGAAAUGCGUUGAUAUCAUCAGGAACACCGGUGGCGAAGGCGGGUCUCUGGGCCGUAACUGACGCUGAGGAGCGAAAGCGUGGGGAGCGAACAGG